ACAGCAGUAGCCGCGGGAAUACGUAGGGUGCAAGCGUUAUCCGGAAUUAUUGGGCGUAAAGAGCUCGUAGGCGGUUUGUCGCGUCUGCUGUGAAAACUGGAGGCUCAACCUCCAGCCUGCAGUGGGUACGGGCAGACUAGAGUGCGGUAGGGGAGAUUGGAAUUCCUGGUGUAGCGGUGGAAUGCGCAGAUAUCAGGAGGAACACCGAUGGCGAAGGCAGAUCUCUGGGCCGUAACUGACGCUGAGGAGCGAAAGCAUGGGGAGCGAACAGGAUUAGAUACUCCCGUAGUCCCUGUCUCUUAUAC
rnacentral:rRNA from 1 species